rnacentral:rRNA from 1 species
UACGUAGGGCGCAAGCGUUGUCCGGAAUUAUUGGGCGUAAAGAGCUCGUAGGCGGCUUGUCACGUCGGGUGUGAAAGCCCGGGGCUUAACCCCGGGUCUGCAUUCGAUACGGGCAGGCUAGAGUGUGGUAGGGGAGAUCGGAAUUCCAGGUGUAGCGGUGAAAUGCGUAGAUAUCUGGAGGAACACCGGUGGCGAAGGCGGCCCCCUGGUUGGAUACUGACGCUGAUACGCGAAAGCGUGGGGAGCAAACAGG